AUUCAAUGGAAACAAUUUUCCGAAAUAGUGACAAAAAUAUCAAUGCUAGGUACUACGUAUUAGUAAUUGGAAUGAGUACAAUUUAAAAUCCCUUAACAAGUAACAAUUAGAGGGCAAGUCUGGUGCCAGCAGCCGCGGUAAUUCCAGCUCUAAUAGCGUAUAUUAAUAUUGUUGCAGUUAAAAAGCUCGUAGUUGAAAUUUGGAACUUUAUUGUAUUGGUUUAUCUUUUGAUGAACUGUAUGAUGGGUUUCUUCCUACUAGAGUUCGAUUCUGUUCUUAGCUGAAUGGAGUAGCUAUCUCUCGGGGUAGUCAGUUGGUUGUUAUAUCUCCACUAAUAAGCAGAGAGGGGUUAAACCUUUGAAGUAAGUUAUGUGGAUCAAGGUAUGGUGAUUAAUUGGAGUUCUAGUUCAUUUACUUUGAGAAAAUUAGAGUGUUUAAAGCAGCCUCUUGGGGGCACUGAAUACAUUAGCAUGGGAUAAUAAAAUAGGAUCUUCACAAUAUAUUUUAUUGGUUUAAAUUGGAUAUGAAGAUAAUGA
rnacentral:rRNA from 1 species